GGUGUGGAAUGCUACAACACGGUCAGCAAGGCUUCACCGAGAAGGCACACGGAAGAUAUGUGCAAAAGGUGGAGUGGGGUGUUAUCCACCCAGAAGCCAGGGCCAUGUGACUGGGAGGGAUCUCACACACACAGUGGGAGCCAGCCUCUGGUUCACUUCUUUGCAAUCUGGAGAAAGAUACCUCAUCGCGCCUCUGGGUUCUCAUGUCACAUGGACAGAAGAGCGCACCUUUCCCCUAGGUCUUCGUGAACCCCGUGGGUGGUCCAUCAUGAAGCUCUAGGUAUACAGCAAUUGCUGAAAUCCUGCCAUCUGUGUUUGUCUUUGUAAAACAGUCUCAUAUAGCCCCCAAUUCACUUCGAUAGUCAAGAACGACCUUGAA